rfam:Callithrix jacchus chromosome 4, whole genome shotgun sequence
CCAAAGGCUCUUUUCAGAGCCACCCACAUUUUCCGUAAAGCGCUGG